AUUGAACGCUGGCGGCAGGCCUAACACAUGCAAGUCGAGCGGAUGAAGGGAGCUUGCUCCUGGAUUCAGCGGCGGACGGGUGAGUAAUGCCUAGGAAUCUGCCUGGUAGUGGGGGAUAACGUCCGGAAACGGGCGCUAAUACCGCAUACGUCCUGAGGGAGAAAGUGGGGGAUCUUCGGACCUCACGCUAUCAGAUGAGCCUAGGUCGGAUUAGCUAGUUGGUGGGGUAAAGGCCUACCAAGGCGACGAUCCGUAACUGGUCUGAGAGGAUGAUCAGUCACACUGGAACUGAGACACGGUCCAGACUCCUACGGGAGGCAGCAGUGGGGAAUCUUGGACAAUGGGCGAAAGCCUGAUCCAGCCAUGCCGCGUGUGUGAAGAAGGUCUUCGGAUUGUAAAGCACUUUAAGUUGGGAGGAAGGGCAGUAAGUUAAUACCUUGCUGUUUUGACGUUACCAAAAGAAUAAGCACCGGCUAACUUCGUG
rnacentral:rRNA from 1 species